rnacentral:rRNA from 1 species
CAGUAGGGAAUCUUCCACAAUGGGCGAAAGCCUGAUGGAGCAACGCCGCGUGUGUGAUGAAGGGUUUCGGCUCGUAAAACACUGUUGUAAGAGAAGAAUGACAUUGAGAGUAGCUGUUCAAUGUGUGACGGUAUCUUACCAGAAAGGAACGGCUAAAUACGUGCCAC